CCGCACCACGUGGGCCCGGCGCCCCACGCCUGGAGCUCCCCUCUCCGGAGCCCCGGGAAGGGAAGCGGGGCAAGGAGGCCGGGUGGGCGCAGGGGGGUCUCCGGCGCUUCCUCUCCUCUGCGGGCGCCGCGCGGCUCCUGGGAGUCCGCCCCCGUUCCUGACGCUCAGCUAGGAAGCGGGUCCUCGGGCCCCUCCCCCGAUACAUACACACACACACACAUACACACACACACACACACACACACACACACACAGAGACAGACUCUCACUCUCUUACACAGCCCCUCUCGCGCCCGAGGUCUCGCCCGCAGGCCGGUGGCGCGGGGUCAGCUGCUGCCUGCGGUCCAGGACAGGGUCGGUUCCGCCGCGCAGCGCCCAGGCCCAGCUCGUCCAGAGUCUGCGGGCAGCGCACGUCCAGGUAACGCGCGCCAAGGGGCCGCGGCUCGGAGCUGGGGGACCCGGGCCGCCCUCCCCAUACGGGUGGGAGCGUGGAGAGCGCGGGCGGGGGCGCGGUCCCGGGGGCCGGGCAGCUGGAGGGGGCGGGAGCGCUGGGUGGGGCCUGCGCUGACCCCGGCGCUGAGUCCCUGGGGCCGCCGGGCGGAUGGCGUGGCCGGACGCGGGGGCCCCGGGCCUUCCGGGCGUGACCCAGGGCUCGGGGGCGGGGAGGCCCCUCCGGCGGGGCGGCCCUGGGUGGUCCGGCAGAGGCGGAGGCCGCUCCGAGCCUGUGAGCCCUGGGCGCCUGCGGAGGCGGGGAGAGGGCGGGGUGUGCUGCCCUGGUGGGGACCGCGGGGUCGGAGAGGGGACAUUACCCCCCGCGCCGCGGCGAACGCCCAACCGCGGGUCCGGGUCCCCGCCCAAGGCCGCCCCCGCGAGGUGGCCUCGGCCCGGCUGUCCCCGAGGGUGGCUCGGAUCCUUUCAACUAGCGCGCUGGAGGCAAAGGGCCGCGCCAUUCCAGGUCAGGCAGCCAACGCGGGACACGCGCGUCUCCGAGCUUGCGGCCCGCGAAACCCGGGUGACCUACCGCGCCAGUGCCUUCAACGUCCCCACGCACGGGCCAGUGGCCGCCGCAGCCCCUGAGUCACGCGGUCUCCCCGGCCGGGCCGGCAGAAGGAGCUGGUCCGUUACCAGAAAAAUCCAGAUGCAAAGUUGGGGGUCGUGCUGCCGCUUCCUGCCAGCGCACCGCACCCACCUGGGGCCGCCGCCGACCGGGCAGGACGCGCCUCCUACCCCCUAUUCUGGCCCGGCGGAGAGCUGGUGCCCCCAGCGGCCGCCCGCCCCCGUCCGCAGACCCCGGGGCCCCUGCUGAUUUGCAUUUGCCCGGAGCUGAGGGGGCCAGGGCCUUUGGAGGAAGCAUUGGUCUCCGGGCUGAAGAGCAAAGGCCGUGCCACCUGCCGGGAGGCGGGUGUCAUCUCUGCAAGGGGGCAGACCCCUCGGCCAGGUCAGAGGAAGCAGCGGUGGGGAGACGGACUGCGCGCUGGGAGGCUCCACGCAUCGUAGGUGGGGAGCUGGCUGCCAACCUGGCCUGCCCUCUCUUCCCCGCUCCACCAUCUCUGCUUGGCUCUAGUACCUGCCUGGGGAAGACCCACACCUCCGUCUGCAGUGUUCCUUCCCCUUGGAGGCCCUGCCCUCUGCUCGAGUGCCCGCAUCUUUCCGUGGCCCUCAGAGCAUCGCCUGGGGCGCCCACGGAACUCAUCUGUUAGGCCUGGGAUGCAGGCAGGCAGAAGUGGAGGUUUCAGUGGAAGCAGUGAGGGUGGGGGCCCGGCCCGAACUGUGCCACCUUCCACCCCCUGCCCCUGGGAGAGCAGACAUCGCCCACUCGGGCUCAUGGUGCCAUCCGGGUGAGGACCUCCAUGGAGAGCUCCUCUUUGCCAAAGAAAAGCAAAGUUGCAUUAGGUCUGCGAGCAGGCAGGGUGGCCUCUUCCUGGCUCCCCCCCCACCAAGGAAGCUUCAAGUCCCUGGGACACAGGUGGGGGACUCCAACACCCCUGGAGGAAGGGAGACUGAGGUUGGGGGUGGCGUCCAGGCCCUGACUCUGAGGCACGGUGGUCUGUGCAACCGAGACCCUGCCUCAGGCUCCACCAGCACCUGCUCCUUUCCCCAGGUUGCAGUGACCACCAGGAGAGGUGCCGGGUGUGUAGGCUGCCACGGAAGGGUGGGGAGGUGGGGAGUCUCUGCGGCGGGGUGGUGGGGGCCUAGGCCAGCCAGCUGAGGACAUGUUGGUGCACUCCUGGGAGGGCGGUAUGUGGGUGAGGAUCCCCAUGCAGGGUGGUGCCCAGAAGCCCACUUCCAGAGUCAUCUCUGGUCCACCUCGAAGUCCCCAGGAAAAUGACCUUGUUCUCCGCGGGUGCGAGCCACUAGGCCUGAGAGGACGCCGGCAUGGGGCUUUCAGAGAGGGAGGUGUCAGGAUGGUUUGAGUGUCACCAGCCCAGACAUCCUCCUGGUCCUCCUGAUGCCCCCGACCUCCACGGAGGAUGAGCAUUUCCAGCCCAGCCCUCCCCAUCUCCACCUCCCACUCCCGACACACAGGGAGCCUCCUGAUCUGUGAACCCGCGCUGGCGGGAGUAGCUACUGACCGCUGGGGACCCCUGCCCAGGCUGCUCCCAUGUGGAAAGGAUUCAGGGAGCAGGCGAUGCUUAGCCGAAAGCGUGGAGACCAGCGCUGCUCUCUCCCCAGCGACAGUAUAGAUGUGCCCUGUACAGGAGGGUGCUGUCUGACGCCAGACACCCGGACUACAAAUCGCAACCCCAUUCCUGGUCCUUGCUCCACUGCACCGCAGACCCCAUCCUCAUUCUGGGCCCUCAUCCCCUAGAUCCAGGGACCCCAGCCCCAUUUCAGCCCUUGGACCCUUGUAGGAUGUCAGGCCCUGGCUCCCCUGGGCCCCAGCCCCCAGCCCAUCCCUGACCCAGGCACUGGGGGGCCGAGCUCUUCUGAGAAGGGACAUAGGGCCUGGGGGGCUCUCUCAGCCCAUCAGCAGGAGAGGAGGAGAGGACAGACUCCAGAAAAAUCAGCCUUUGUACCCACUCAGGCUGCCAAGACCUGUGUCUGUCCUUCCAAGCUCAACCUUCAGAGUUCAUGAGGCCUCUUGCCCAGAAUGUCCACAGAUUUCAUGAGGCCCCUUGCCCAGAAUGUCCACGUUUGAAACCUCCCAACACCAAGCCCCAUUUCAAGUAUAACCAGGAGGGAAAAUGGUGCUUGAAAUAAGCAUGCCGCAAAGGAACACCUGCUUUCUCUAAAUGGGCUCUGGCCGCCCAGGCCCUGACCUCCCUGGCCAGGAUGGAACGUUCCAGAGACCUAUUAGUGCCAAAGGCAAAUUAAAACACACCCUGUGAAAAUGUC
rnacentral:lncRNA from 1 species